CAGCACUGCCUGAUAUAGGGGCAUUGCUGCAGAAACAAACCCCAGCCAAAAUGGCGCCCGACCAGGGCCCAGACCCCCCACAGGCAGAUACCCCACCUGCACAAACCACUCAGGGGGACACACAGAGAUCUCCACAGCUCACACAGACCACAACCACCAAACCCAUACCCCCACAGGGAUCAGCAGCCACAAAGCAGGACCUGCAGCAGUUGCAAACUAUGCUGCAGGAUAUACAACACCUGCUGGCAGCAGACCUACCAGCGCUCAAAACGAGCAUGCAACAGAUCACAGAAAAAGUGACCACCACUGAAAACCAAGUCAAAACAAUACAG